CCUACGGGAGGCAGCAGUGGGGGAUAUUGCACAAUGGGGGAAACCCUGAUGCAGCGACGCCGCGUGAGUGAAGAAGUAUUUCGGUAUGUAAAGCUCUAUCAGCAGGGAAGAAAAUGCCAGUACCUGUCCCAGAAUCCCUGUCUAACUACGUGCCAGCUCCCGCGGGAAUACGUCGGGGGCAGCCGUUAUCCGGAUUUACUGGGCGUAAAGGGGGCGUAUACGGUUAUGUAAGUCUGGAGUUAAAGCCCGGGGUCCAACCCCGGGACUGCCUUGGAAACUGUGUAACUGGAGUACAGGAGGGGCAGGCGGAAUUCCUGGGGUAGCGGGGAAAUGCGUAGA
rnacentral:rRNA from 1 species